GAUGAACGCUAGCUACAGGCUUAACACAUGCAAGUCGAGGGGCAGCAUGGUCUUAGCUUGCUAAGGCCGAUGGCGACCGGCGCACGGGUGAGUAACACGUAUCCAACCUGCCGUCUACUCUUGGACAGCCUUCUGAAAGGAAGAUUAAUACAAGAUGGCAUCAUGAGUCCACAUGUUCACAUGAUUAAAGGUAUUCCGGUAGACGAUGGGGAUGCGUUCCAGUAGAUAGUAGGCGGGGUAACGGCCCACCUAGUCUUCGAUGGAUAGGGGUUCUGAGGGGAAGGUCCCCCACAUUGGAACUGAGACACGGUCCAAACUCCUACGGGAGGCAGCAGUGAGGAAUAUUGGUCAAUGGGCGAGAGCCUGAACCAGCCAAGUAGCGUGAAGGAUGACUGCCCUAUGGGUUGUAAACUUCUGUUAUAAAGGAAUAAAGUCGGGUAUGCAUACCCGUUUGCAUGUACUUUAUGAAUAAGGAUCGGCUAACUCCGUGCCAGCAGCCGCCGUAA
rnacentral:rRNA from 1 species